UUUAACUUGCUUGCUUUUCUUUGUUUGCGUUUUUGAAUUUUGAAAUGAAGAGAAGGAUAGCGAAUAACUUCUGCUUCAGGAAAGGGAGUGGAAACAGAACGGUUGGAAGAUGCUGGGGAGAACCUGGUUAAGAUCUGCUUUAUGUCUUAUUCUGCUCCAUGGAGGGAGCAGUGGUGAAAAGAGAGAAGAUGAAAGUUCCUGUUUCAAACUUGAUUCUCUUGUAUGCUACUCUAACUCAGAGCUUGAAGGUUGUGACCAAAAGAGGAUCAGUUCUGUUUGGGAAAAUUACAUAAUUGAUGUCCAGACAAAGAAAAGAAGACUUUUUCAGCUGUACUGAAUAUGUUCUCAUCCUCUGCUGUAAAAAAGGAAAAGCCUUAAUGGAAGUCUUUGAAUCUUACUACAACAUGGGGUUCUUUAUGGUCUUGCAUGAAUUCUGCUUUUAUAGUAUUUAGUUUCAGUCAGCUAUAUUGCCAAAAAGACUGUUUUGUCAUAGUGUAUAGUGCAAAAGAAAAAUCUGACUUUUACUGAAAUUUCAGGUUUUAAUGUCUUUCUUCAUGGCAUGUAGUGACUUUAGAUGUGGUGAACUUCUUUAAAAGUAGGUGGAAUGUAAUGCAUAGAUGAUAAUGCUUAGCCUGUUGGGUUUUUCUAAUUUAACUUUUUUCCUUGGUUGAUUGGGAGGAUUAUCUUCCAAUCCUAAAUUGUUUCUAUGAAGAAAACCUCUUCAUAUUUUUUGUUCAUGGAAGUUUUAGAAAAUAAGAUUCAUUUAUGUAUACUGUGAAAAUAUUUUUUUCUUCCAGAAGCUAAUCAAUUUACAGUUAUAAAUAAGGAAAAAAAUAUAUAGUUUAACGUGAGCAUGUUAAUCAGAGGCAGCGAAUGGUGAGGGUUAUAUAUGUUUAGUUGUGUGUAUUGCAUUCUGCCACAUGGAUCAGAAGUUUGGCUGUGGCUUACUUUAUAUAUUCGUUACUGUGUCCCUGGGAAUCUCGUUAUACAUGACUGAAGUGCGAUUUUAUUUCAAAGUUGACUUGUUCUUUCUAGUUCAUUUUUUGUUGAGCUUGUUUCUAAAUAUCAUGUCUGAAACAAAUUUAAUGUUUCUUAAAUAUUUAACUUCUGUCUUUCAUGUUUAAGAGAGAUCUGUUCUUCAAAAUACGUCUUCUCUGCACUAUUGGUUGGAUAUCUCCUACUUGGGUCAUUUUCUAUAAGGUUUUUAUCAGCUAUGCUAAAAAGAUAGUGAUUAAUGUAAGUCUGAAUUUCUCCAUCUGGUAUAAAUGCAUUUCUAAUCACUGUUCUGAUCUGUCAAAAACAUGAAAACCUACCUUCGUCAAGUCAGUGAGAAUCCAUAGUAUGCCAAAAAUGUGAAAGUAUUUGCAGGUUCAAAUUUUUUUUUUAAAUGAAUAACAAUUCUGACCACCUACUAGCUUUCAGGAUUUAAGUUUUAUCCCAUAAUUUGCUUUAUGUGUAAUCAAUUAGGAUCAAUAUGAUGUUCUUGUCUGUGCUUCUUGUUGACUGAAAAAAAAAAAACCCAAAACAACAGUAUAAGAGAAGGUUUAGAUUGUGCUGCACUGGACUAAACAUUUGGUCAUAAGAGUUGUCAUUACGCAAAACAUUUGAACGACAUUAUUUAGAGUCAGACUUUGGAUCUUUCAUAAACAGUAGAGCAAUUACAAACUUGUUCUACCACUGUGUGGUAUUCAUCAGUUAAAUGUAGUAAGUGUAUAUAGGGAAAGGUAUUAAUGAAAUAUUUAUUACGUUUUCAGUAAAACAUGUUUUAAAUUAGCUGGCUCAUAGCUGUGUGACAUACUCGUGUAACGCUUUAACUUUUAUAUUUAAUUCUGUUUCUAUCUGACAGAACGUACAUCAGUUAUUUUGGAAUUUUAAAAAAUCAGUUCUGUAAGGCAGUGAAUGAUUUCAAAUGACUCUUUAACGUAUAAUGGAUUUAUUUUACAUUUUGAGUACUUAAUAACUGUGUUAUUGCAUAAAAUGACUGGGCAAGCAGUUCGAGUAACAAUGCCAUUAAUAUAGAAAAAUUAUGCAAGAAACAUAUUCCUGUAUAUCCAAGUGUGCCAGUAAAUAAAGC